GACAGAGGUGCCGAGCGUUAGGCGGAAUCACUGGGCUUAAAGCGUACGUAGGCGGAUAUGCAGGCGUCGUGUGAAAUCCCUUGGCUCAACCAAGGAACUGCACGGCGAACCGCAUGUCUUGAGAUCGGUAGGGGCGGUCGGAACGAUAGGUGGAGUGGUGAAAUGCGUUGAUAUCUAUCGGAACGCCGAAGGUGAAAGCAGGCCGCUGGGCCGAUUCUGACGCUGAGGUACGAAAGCGUGGGGAGCGAACGGG
rnacentral:rRNA from 1 species